rnacentral:rRNA from 1 species
AUUGAACGCUGGCGGCAUGCCUUACACAUGCAAGUCGAACGGUAACGGGCCUUCGGGUGCCGACGAGUGGCGAACGGGUGAGUAAUGUAUCGGAACGUACCUUUCAGUGGGGGAUAACGUAGCGAAAGUUACGCUAAUACCGCAUAUUCUGUGAGCAGGAAAGCAGGGGAUCGCAAGACCUUGCGCUGAUUGAGCGGCCGAUAUCAGAUUAGCUAGUUGGUGAGGUAAAAGCUCACCAAGGCGACGAUCGGUAGCGGGUCUGAGAGGAUGAUCCGCCACACUGGAACUGAGACACGGUCCAGACUCCUACGGGAGGCAGCAGUGGGGAAUUUUGGACAAUGGGGGCAACCCUGAUCCAGCCAUGCCGCGUGAGUGAAGAAGGCCUUCGGGUUGUAAAGCUCUUUCGGCCGGGAAGAAAUCGUAUCAGCUAAUACCUGGUGCGGAUGACGGUACCGGCAUAAGAAGCACCGGCUAACUACGUGCCAGCCGCCGCUGUAAAAC